rnacentral:rRNA from 1 species
CAAUAGCGUAUAUUAAAGUUGUUGCAGUUAAAAAGCUCGUAGUUGAAUUUCGGGGUCAGUAGGUUGGUCGUGCCACCGGUACGUACUGGUCUCACUGAUUCCUCCUUCCUGAUGAGCUGUAAUGCCAUUAAUUUGGUGUUGCAGGGAAUCUGGACUGUUACUUUGAAAAAAUUAGAGUGUUUAAAGCAGGCUAACGCUUGAAUACAUUAGCAUGGAAUAAUGAAAUAGGACGUUCGAUCCUAUUUUGUUGGUUUCUAGGAUUGACGUAAUGAUUAAUAGGGAUAGUUGGGGGCAUUAGUAUUCAAUUGUCAGAGGUGAAAUUCUUGGAUUUAUUGAAGACUAACUACUGCGAAAGCAUUUGCCAAGGAUGUUUUCAUUAAUCAAGAACGAAAGUUAGGGGAUCGAAGACGAUCAGAUACCGUCGUAGUCUUAACCAUAAACUAUGCCGACUAGGGAUCGGAUGAUGUUAAUUUUUUAAUGAC